AGAGUUUGAUCCUGGCUCAGGACGAACGCUGGCGGUGUGCUUAACACAUGCAAGUCGAACGGUAAGGCCCUUUCGGGGGUACACGAGUGGCGAACGGGUGAGUAACACGUGAGUAACCUGCCCUCAUCUCUGGGAUAACAGUCGGAAACGGUUGCUAAUACUGGAUAUGAGCUUGCAAGGCAUCUUGUGGGUUGGAAAGAUAUUUUUUGGUUGGGGAUGGACUCGCGGCCUAUCAGCUUGUUGGUGAGGUAGUGGCUCACCAAGGCUUCGACGGGUAGCCGGCCUGAGAGGGCGACCGGCCACAUUGGGACUGAGAUACGGCCCAAACUCCUACGGGAGGCAGCAGUGGGGAAUAUUGCACAAUGGACGGAAGUCUGAUGCAGCAACGCCGCGUGCGGGAUGACGGCCUUCGGGUUGUAAACCGCUUUCAAUUGUGACGAAGCUUUUUGUGACGGUAGCAGUAGAAGAAGCACCGGCUAACUACGUGCCAGCAGCCGCGGUGAUACGUAGGGUGCGAGCGUUGUCCGGAUUUAUUGGGCGUAAAGAGCUUGUAGGCGGUUUGUCGCGUCGGGAGUGAAAACUUGGGGCUUAACCCUGAGCUUGCUUUCGAUACGGGCUGACUUGAGGGAGGUAGGGGAGAAUGGAAUUCCUGGUGGAGCGGUGGAAUGCGCAGAUAUCAGGAGGAACACCGGUGGCGAAGGCGGUUCUCUGGACCUUUCCUGACGCUGAGAAGCGAAAGCGUGGGGAGCGAACAGGCUUAGAUACCCUGGUAGUCCACGCUGUAAACGGUGGGUACUAGGUGUGGGGGACAUUCCACGUUCUCCGUGCCGUAGCUAACGCAUUAAGUACCCCGCCUGGGGAGUACGGCCGCAAGGCUAAAACUCAAAGGAAUUGACGGGGCCCCGCACAAGCGGCGGAGCAUGCGGAUUAAUUCGAUGCAACGCGAAGAACCUUA
rnacentral:rRNA from 1 species